rnacentral:tRNA from 1 species
CGGGCAGUAGCUCAGUGGUAGGGCUCACGCUACUAUGCGAAAAGACCUGGGUUCGAUUCCAUGCUGCCUGU